rnacentral:rRNA from 1 species
CACGCAGGCGGUUUGGCAAGUCGGAUGUGAAAACCCGAAGCUCAACUUCGGGCCUGCAUCCGAAACUGCCCGACUAGAGGUAGGUAGGGGAGAUCGGAAUUCCUGGUGUAGCGGUGAAAUGCGCAGAUAUCAGGAGGAACACCGGUGGCGAAGGCGGGUCUCUGGGCCUUACCUGACGCUCAGGUGCGAAAGCUAGGGGAGCGAACA